rnacentral:lncRNA from 1 species
AAAUUUCUCAUACAAGCAAAAUGAACCUAUUCAGCAUCAAGGUGGUCCACCAGAUUUUCAGAAGAAUUUUUCCAGGAUAGGUCCAUCACAAAUAAACCAAUCAUUGGCUCCACCUAUUUCUACUUAUAGUGCCCCUAUCCCUCAGCAAACUACAUCAUUGGAAGCCAUGAUGGCUAACAUGAUGAAGCAACAACAAGACUUCAUCCAACAACAACAACAGACCAACAUGGCUUAAACCCAUACUAACCAAUUCCAUGCGCAAGCGAUUGCAAAACUUGAGGUUAGUCUGAGCCAAAUAGCCAACUCUCUAGGGGAUAGGAAGAAAGGUGAAUUGCCCAGUCAGCCAGU